UUCGAGAGGUGGUUCAAGGCUACGUGAA
rnacentral:sRNA from 1 species